rnacentral:rRNA from 1 species
GUUUUUUAAUUAAUAGAAAAUGUUACCUGGUAAGUAAUAAUAUUAAAACACAUGCCUUAAUCUGAGGGUAAUAAUGUAGCAUAAUUAAUUAUCGUUUAAUUGACGAAGAGUAUGAAUGGUAUAACAUUUUUAAAUUGUCUCAAUUUUAUAUAUUAUUAAAUUAAAAUAAAUGUGAAGAUACAUUUUAAAAAUUAUAAGACGAAAAGACCCUAUAAAUCUUUACUAUUAAGUUAGUUUAACUGGGACAGUUAACUCUUAUUAUAAUAGAGUAUAUUUAAUUAUUUCAAACAUGAAUUAUUUGACCACUUAUUAUAAAUAAUUAAAUAUAAGUAUAAAGAAUAAAAGAUACUUUAGGGAUAACAGCGUUAUUUUUUUAUAAAAUUUUUUAUAAAAAAGUUUACGACCUCGAUGUUGAAUUAAAAUUACCUAUAAAUAAAGUAGUUUAAAAGGUUAGUCUGUUCGACUAUUAAAAU